ensembl:lncRNA
AUCUGUACUUGGAGAAUACCUUCUUUGGAGUAUUUGACAAGUUCUGAUCUUCUGGAAGAGUCUGUACCUGAAAGAACAGACUGAGGAAUUCUGAAAAGUUCUUCAUUAUUCUUUCUGAAAAAGUACAUAGGGGAAGAUGUAUCUUGAAGGUAUUCUGUCUGAGUGCCCAGCUAGCUCCAAGUAGCAGAAGAGAGGAAGAUGAACUCUUGACUCCUUCAAAAUUUCUUCUCCAUUAUGUCAUAUGAACCAAAACGCAGCAUCAUACUAGGCACUCUGAAGAAAAAUCCAUCCCAGCUGAAACUAAGACACUUUCAGAAUACAAAAUGCAGCAAAAAAAUCCAAACAGUAAAGACUCUAUUUAUUUUGUAAUAUGAGCGUUUCAAAAUUAUAUCAUGUUACUGCAUUGAUUAAGGAAGUUUUAAUUUGAAAACAAAUUUCAAGAAAUUUUCAGCUAACUUUUGGAAUGCUGACAUUGGAAAAUUUAACUCCCAUUUGGUUUGUCUUUUAUCAUUAAUUAACCAGUAGCGUUCAUGCACUAUAUUUGUUAUGGAUUUUUGUCACAAAAGAAAUCCUGGAUCUAAAUCUGCACUUAAAUCAAAAAUCUGAAUUUAUCUAUAGAUUGCAACUUUACUUGAAUCAAGAAUAUAAAAGAUCAACCAGUGUUUUGUCAUGUUGAAUUUAGCAUGAAGGCAACAAGAAGAUGAGAAGACAAAUUUUAUUAUUAAUUUUCUUUUAAUUAGCAAGUGCCCACUACAGUUGAAACCAAAUGUUUCAGAUACCCCGUAAUUUGUGAAGUGAAUAGUGAAAGAAAAAAACUCUGAAUGUAAUAAAUUUUCCAUUAAAAAAUGUGUAGACACACACAAAAAAAGAUGGACAGUAUCAUUUCAAAAGGCAUAGAAAGUGAAUACUGAGCUCUUUAUUCGCUGAAGUCUCUGAUAAAUCUGAAAAUUUAAGACUGCUGAAGAAGUUAAGGAGUUCAUCAUUUUUUGAUUGCUUUAUCUGGAUCAUAAAAUAAUAAUUAAAAUAAAAAUAACAUCAUUCUCUAUUUGGACUGUAUGUUUAACCAAAGCUACUCUGAGAGGGAGAGGGACAGUACUUUAAUAUUCCCCUUAGUGUCUCAUCUUUCUUAUCUCUUUGAACUGAAUAUUUUCCUUUUUGACUUUUUUUUUUUGAGCAAAUAAAGUUUUUGUGUGGGUAAAUGG